GAUGAACGCUGGCGGCGUGCCUAAUACAUGCAAGUCGAGCGAACGGACGAGAAGCUUGCUUUUCUGAUGUUAGCGGCGGACGGGUGAGUAACACGUGGAUAACCUACCUAUAAGACUGGGAUAACUUCGGGAAACCGGAGCUAAUACCGGAUAAUAUUUUGAACCGCAUGGUUCAAAAGUGAAAGACGGUCUUGCUGUCACUUAUAGAUGGAUCCGCGCUGCAUUAGCUAGUUGGUAAGGUAACGUCUUACCAAGGCAACGAGGCAUAGCCGACCUGAGAGGGUGAUCGGCCACACUGGAACUGAGACACGGUCCAGACUCCUACGGGAGGCAGCAGUAGGGAAUCUUCCGCAAUGGGCGAAAGCCUGACGGAGCAACGCCGCGUGAGUGAUGAAGGUCUUCGGAUCGUAAAACUCUGUUAUUAGGGAAGAACAUAUGUGUAGGUAACUGUGCACAUCUUGACGGUACCUAAUCAGAAAGCCACGGCUAACUACGUG
rnacentral:rRNA from 1 species